UACGGAGGGUGCAAGCGUUAUCCGGAUUCACUGGGUUAAAGGGUGCGUAGGUGGGUCUGUAAGUCAGUGGUGAAAUCUCCGUGCUUAACAUGGAAACUGCCAUUGAUACUAUAGGUCUUGAAUUUUCUGGAGGUCAGCGGAAUAUGUCAUGUAGCGGUGAAAAUGCUUAGAUAUGACAUAGAACACCAAUUGCGAAGGCAGCUGGCCUACAGGGAUAUUGACACUGAGGCACGAAAGCGUGGGGAUCAAACAGG
rnacentral:rRNA from 1 species